AUUGAACGCUGGCGGCAGGCCUAACACAUGCAAGUCGAGCGGAUGAAGGGAGCUUGCUCCUGGAUUCAGCGGCGGACGGGUGAGUAAUGCCUAGGAAUCUGCCUGGUAGUGGGGGAUAACGUCCGGAAACGGGCGCUAAUACCGCAUACGUCCUGAGGGAGAAAGUGGGGGAUCUUCGGACCUCACGCUAUCAGAUGAGCCUAGGUCGGAUUAGCUAGUUGGUGGGGUAAAGGCCUACCAAGGCGACGAUCCCUAACUGGUCUGAGAGGAUGAUCAGUCACACUGGAACUGAGACACGGUCCAGACUCCUACGGGAGGCAGCAGUGGGGAAUAUUGGACAAAGGGCGAAAGCCUGAUCCAGCCAUGCCGCGUGUGUGAAGAAGGUCUUCGGAUUGUAAAGCACUUUAAGUUGGGAGGAAGGGCAGUAAGUUAAUACCUUGCUGUUUUGACGUUACCAACAGAAUAAGCACCGGCUAACUUCGUG
rnacentral:rRNA from 1 species